GAUGAACGCUGGCGGCGUGCUUAACACAUGCAAGUCGAACGGAAAGGCCCAAGCUUGCUUGGGUACUCGAGUGGCGAACGGGUGAGUAACACGUGGGUGAUCUGCCCUGCACUUCGGGAUAAGCCUGGGAAACUGGGUCUAAUACCGGAUAGGACCACAUUUUGGAUGGUGUGGUGGAAAGUUUUUCGGUGUGGGAUGAGCUCGCGGCCUAUCAGCUUGUUGGUGGGGUAAUGGCCUACCAAGGCGUCGACGGGUAGCCGGCCUGAGAGGGUGUACGGCCACAUUGGGACUGGGAUACGGCCCAUACUCCUACGGGAGGCAGCAGUGGGGAAUAUUGCACAAUGGGCGCAAGCCUGAUGCAGCGACGCCGCGUGGGGGAUGACGGCCUUCGGGUUGUAAACUCCUGUCGCUAGGGACGAAGCGUUUUUGUGACGGUACCUGGAGAAGAAGCACCGGCUAACUACGUG
rnacentral:rRNA from 1 species